UUUUCGGAGAGUUUGAUCCUGGCUCAGGAUGAACGCUGGCGGCGUGCCUUACACAUGCAAGUCGAGCGGAGAAGAUUUUCUGUGGCAACACAGGAGUCUUCUUAGCGGCAAACGGGUGAGUAAUGGAUGAGUAACCUACCCUGUAGAUGGGGAUAGCCAUCCGAAAGGAUGGGUAAUACCCAAUAAUGUUGGAGGACUUCGGUUCUCCAAAGAAAGGUGGCGCAAGCUACCGCUUCAGGAUGGGCUCAUCUCCUAUCAGCU
rnacentral:rRNA from 1 species